rnacentral:rRNA from 1 species
GAUGAACGCUGGCGGCGUGCCUAAUACAUGCAAGUCGAGCGAACAGACGAGGAGCUUGCUCCUCUGACGUUAGCGGCGGACGGGUGAGUAACACGUGGAUAACCUACCUAUAAGACUGGGAUAACUUCGGGAAACCGGAGCUAAUACCGGAUAAUAUAUUGCACCGCAUGGUUCAAUAGUGAAAGACGGUUUUGCUGUCACUUAUAGAUGGAUCCGCGCCUCAUUAGCUAGUUGGUAAGGUAACGGCUUAUCAAGGCAACGAUGCGUAGCCGACCUGAGAGGGGGAUCGGCCACACGAGAACUGAGACACGGUCCAGGCUCCUACGGGAGGCAGCAGUAGGGAAUCUUCCGCAAUGGGCGAAAGCCUUACGGAGCAACGCCGCGUGAGUGAUGAAGGUCUUCGGAUCGUAAAACUCUGUUAUGAGGGAAGAACAAAUGUGUAAGUAACUGUGCACGUCGUGACGGUACCGAAUCAGAAAGCCACGGCUAACUACGUG